rnacentral:rRNA from 1 species
UACGUAGGGGGCUAGCGUUAGGCGGAAUCACUGGGCUUAAAGCGUGUGUAGGCGGAUCGGUAAGUACCUUGUGAAAUCCCACAGCUUAACUGUGGAACUGCUUGGUAUACUGCCGGUCUUGAGCCAGCUAGGGGCUACCGGAACAAAUGGUGGAGCGGUGAAAUGCGUAGAUAUCAUUUGGAACGCCAAUGGUGAAAACAGGUAGCUGGGGCUGUGCUGACGCUGAGACACGAAAGCCAGGGGAGCAAACGGG